UACAGAGGUCCCAAGCGUUGUUCGGAAUCACUGGGCGUAAAGGGUGCGUAGGCGGGUCUUUAAGUCAGGGGUGAAAUCCUGGAGCUCAACUCCAGAACUGCCUUUGAUACUGAAGAUCUUGAGUUCGGGAGAGGUGAGUGGAACUGCGAGUGUAGAGGUGAAAUUCGUAGAUAUUCGCAAGAACACCAGUGGCGAAGGCGGCUCACUGGCCCGAUACUGACGCUGAGGUGCGAAAGCGUGGGGAGCAAACAGG
rnacentral:rRNA from 1 species